UAAGGCUAAACACAUAGUGAGUUCAGAUAAGAGAAGUGUUGGCAUCUUCUCUAGGGUAUCGGGCUCUUCGAGGUGUUGGUAUCCUCUAUAGGGAACUGGGUUAUACGAGGCGUUUGAACCUCUGUUGUAUAGACCCAGUAGUAGCGCAGAUACCCUUGUUACUGAGAAGUAACCUGGUAAAGGCUCACCAGGUAGCACGGAGACCUUGGUUUGGGUCACAGGUCUAAGACAUCUAAUUGAGACGGUGCUCGGUUUCAUCCAUAGCCUGGUCCAGGAAGACCAAGAUCUUGUAAAUACGUUGUGUCAAUCUGUUUUGUUCUCCGAGGUCUGAUUCUACGCAGACCCUUAUCCCAUAGUAACGUCAGACA